CUCUCGGAACUGGGGCAGCGGCCCGCUCACCUCGUGUCCGUUGCUGGCCGGGAUGAUUUCAGACUCGUUCACCAAGGAAGACUUUAUGUCAGCUAAAUCGCCUUCCUCUUCGGGAUGACUGAUCUCGGCGAAGAUCUUUUCCUUCUGAGGAUCGCCCUCGUCCUUGAAGGGGAUCAUCUCGUCCGUGGCGCAGAGUUCCGGGUCCCCCCCGCCGCCGCCACCUCCUCCGGAGAGUUGGGGCAUCCCGGCGGCUCUGUAAUCUCCGCUCCGCUGUGGGAGCACCCGCGGCAACAGCAGGAAAGACAGAGGGGCCCCUUUGUGUGACUAAAUUUGGCAAGAAUAUGGAUCUGAGCCAGUCUUUCCACGUGUGCUCCCAGCUCCCAGCUGAGAAGGCCAAGGGUUCUCUUCCGGAUGCAGCCUUUUUGAAAUUUAUUCUUGGCCAAAAGAGGAAGAUAGUUCAAGGAUUCUAUCUUGCUUUUGGGGGGCAAUGGAGAGACCCUGAAAACACUUAAGGAAAACCUGAGGCCUUCUAUAAGAAAAUAAACUCCCUGAAAGGGGAGGCAGGGCCAAGGAAUUUACUUAUUUUUAUAAAUCUCUUUCCUGGGUGGAUAUGGUAAUGGAUGUGUUUCUUGAAUUGUGGUAAAUGUACCUCAUAAAAUGGAUGGACUGGGGCUAUAUUCUCAGGCUUCCUGGGCUCUGUUGGCAUUGGGCAAGCACGUAAUGCCUGGUUUGAGGCUAGAAGCCAAAGCCACAACCUUCUUGCAGUACCAACUGAGCCAUAGGGAGAUUAAUGCAGAACAAGGUCGUUAGUCUCAUUGUUUAUCCAGUUACUAGCCGCAUAGAUUUUGUGUAAAUUUCAGCUACAGUGGUUGCAGCCUGCCUUUGAUGUGUGUAAUCUGUACAUUUUAGUGCUCCAGGAAAGUACCUGAUUGACAAGAUCUACAUCCAAUGCCCAGAAAACACAUCCUACACAGGCACAGUGAAGCGUGGAGUUGAAGAAUUUUCCAGUGAGUUCCAUCAAAGUAAAUAAACCAACCUAGAGCAUC
rnacentral:antisense_RNA from 1 species